rnacentral:rRNA from 1 species
CCUACGGGAGGCAGCAGUCGAGAAUCAUUCACAAUGGGGGAAACCCUGAUGGUGCGACGCCGCGUGGGGGAAUGAAGUUCUUCGGAUUGUAAACCCCUGUCAUGUGGGAGCAAAUUAAAAAGAUAGUACCACAAUAGGAAGAGACGGCUAACUCUGUGCCAGCAGCCGCGGUAAUACAGAGGUCUCAAGCGUUGUUCGGAAUCACUGGGCGUAAAGCGUGCGUAGGCUGUUUCGUAAGUCGUGUGUGAAAGGCGCGGGCUCAACCCGCGGACGGCACAUGAUACUGCGAGACUAGAGUAAGGGAGGGGGAACCGGAAUUCUCGGUGUAGCAGUGAAAUGCGUAGAUAUCGAGAGGAACACUCGUGGCGAAGGCGGGUUCCUGGACAUUAACUGACGCUGAGGCACGAAGGCCAGGGGAGCGAAAGGGAUUAGAUACCCCGGUAGUC